rnacentral:rRNA from 1 species
CCUACGGGAGGCAGCAGUGAGGAAUAUUGGUCAAUGGCCGGAAGGCUGAACCAGCCAAGCCGCGUGAAGGACGAAGGUGCCAAGCAUUGUAAACUUCUUUUGUCAAGGGACAAAAUCAGGCUCGAGAGCCUGACCGAGGGUACUUGAAGAAAAAGCAUCGGCUACCUCCGUGCCAGCAGCCGCGGUAAUCCGGAGGAUACGAGCGUUAUCCGGAUUUAUGGGGUUUAAAGGGUGCUUAGUGGGACUGUUAAGUCGGCGGGAAAAGCCCGGGGCGAAACCCCGGAGAGCCGUUGACACUGGCUGGCUUGAGAGGUGGAGAGGUAUGCGGAAUGCGCAGUGUAGCGGUGAAAUGCUUAGAUAUUGCGCAGAACUCCGAUUGCGAAGGCAGCAUACCGGCGGGGAUCUGACGCUGAGGCACGAAAGCGUGGGUAUCGAACAGGAUUAGAUACCCGGGUAGUC